rnacentral:rRNA from 1 species
UAAAGCAAGAAAGGGCGUAUGGGGAAUGCCUAGGCACACUCCGGCGAAGAAGGACGCAGCAAACAGCGAAAUGCGACGGUGAGCGGUAAGCACGUGAAGAGCCGUCGAUAUCCGAAUGGGGGAACCCACACGGAGUCAUAUCCGUGUAUCACAUGUCGAAUACAUAGACAUGAUGAGGCGAGACGCAGGGAACUGAAACAUCUAAGUACCUGCAGGAAGAGAAAAUAAGAAUGAUUUUCUGAGUAGCGGCGAGCGAAAGGGAAAGAGCCCAAACCGAUCUGAGGAUCGGGGUAGUAGGAUCAUCGAUAAAUCAAACAGAGGAUCAUAGAGGAAUCACAUGGGAAGGUGAGCGAGAGAGGGUGAGAGCCCCGUACUCGAAAUGAGAGACUGGAGAGAGAUGACACCUGAGUAGGGCGGGACACGAGAAAUCCUGUCUGAAUCAGCCGGGACCAUCCGGCAAGGCUAAAUACGAGAGAGUGACCGAUAGUGAACCAGUACCGUGAGGGAAAGGUGAAAAGAACCCCGGGAGGGGAGUGAAAGAGAACCUGAAACCAUAUGCCUACAAGAAGUCAGAGCCCGUUAAAGGGUGAUGGCGUGCCUUUUGUAGAAUGAACCGGCGAGUUACUGUAUGGAGCGAGGUUAAGCAGGAUAUGCGGAGCCGAAGCGAAAGCGAGUCUUAAGAGGGCGCGAGUUGCAUGCAGUAGACCCGAAACCGGGUGAUCUAGCCAUGACCAGGUUGAAGUUGGGGUAAAACCCGAUGGAGGACCGAACCGACCCCCGUUGAAACGUUGGCGGAUGAGUUGUGGCUAGGGGUGAAAUUCCAAUCGAACCCGGAGAUAGCUGGUUCUCCCCGAAAUAGCUUUAGGGCUAGCGUCGAGAGAAGAGUUGCGUGAAGGUAGAGCACUGAAUAUGUGAUGGCCCCAUCUCGGGGUACUGAGCAUAAUCAAACUGCGAAUGUCACGCCAACAUGCUCGGCAGUCAGACAGCGGGUGAUAAGGUCCGUUGUCAAGAGGGAAACAGCCCAGACCAUCAGCUAAGGUCCCAAAAUGUAUGCUAAGUGGAAAAGGAUGUGGAGAUGUACAGACAACUAGGAGGUUGGCUCAGAAGCAGCCAUCCUUUAAAGAGUGCGUAACAGCUCACUAGUCGAAUGACUCUGCGCCGAUAAUUUACCGGGGCUAAGCAUACUACCGAAGCUAUGGAUCCCAAGGGAUGGUAGGGGAGCGUUCCAUGAACGGAGAAGUACGACCGAAAGGACGUGUGGAGAUCAUGGAAGAGAGAAUGCCGGUGUGAGUAGCGGAACGUGGGUGAGAAUCCCACGCACCGAAAACCCAAGGUUUCCAGAGGAAGGUUCGUCCGCUCUGGGUAAGUCGGGACCUAAGGCGAGGCCGAAAGGCGUAGUCGAUGGACAACAGGUAGAGAUUCCUGUACCCGUAUAUAUGUGAAGGAAUGACGGAGAGAGGAAGCUGCAGCCAGCGGCUGGAAGAGCUGGUGCAAGCGAGAUAUCGGGAUGGCAGGCAAAUCCACCAUCCGAAACGAGAAGGCGUGAAGCGUACGGAAAGCUACGGCGAGUACGGAAGGCAGUGGAGGAACUUCCAAGAAAAGUUUCUAACGUUAAGUAUAUAUGGCCCGUACCGAAAAUGGACACACAUGGGUGAGGAGAGAAUCCUAAGGUGAGCGAGAGAACUAUAGCUAAGGAACUCUGCAAAAUGACUCCGUAACUUAGGGAGAAGGAGUGCUCAUAGAGAUAUGAGCCGCAGUGAAACGGCCCAAGCGACUGUUUACCAAAAACACAGCUCUCUGCUAAGCCGCAAGGCGAAGUAUAGGGGGUGACGCCUGCCCGGUGCUGGAAGGUUAAGGGGAGGGGUUAACGCAAGUGAAGCCCUGAACUGAAGCCCCAGUAAACGGCGGCCGUAACUAUAACGGUCCUAAGGUAGCGAAAUUCCUUGUCAGGUAAGUUCUGACCCGCACGAAAGGCGUAACGAUUUGGGCGCUGUCUCAGCUGUAGACUCGGUGAAGUCUUAGUACCUGUGAAGAUGCAGGUUACCCGCGACUAGACGGAAAGACCCCAUGGAGCUUCACUGCAGGUUGAUAUUGGGAUUUGAUGCAGCAUGUACAGGAUAGGUAGGAGGCAAAGAGAUGGAUACGCCAGUAUUCAAGGAGCCGCUGUUGGGAUACUACCCCUGUUGUAUUGGAUUUCUAACCGGACGACGUAGAGCCGUUGACGGGACAGUGUCAGUCGGGCAGUUUGACUGGGGCGGUCGCCUCCCAAAGAGUAACGGAGGCGCCCAAAGAUACCCUCAGCUUGGAUGGAAACCAAGCGCAGAGUGCAAAGGCAAAAGGGUGUUUGACUGCGAGACCUACAAGUCGAGCAGGGACGAAAGUCGGGCUUAGUGAUCCGGCGGUGCUGAAUGGAAAGGCCGUCGCUCAACGGAUAAAAGCUACCCUGGGGAUAACAGGCUGAUCUCCCCCAAGAGUUCACAUCGACGGGGAGGUUUGGCACCUCGAUGUCGGCUCAUCGCAUCCUGG